rnacentral:rRNA from 2 species
ACAUGCAAGUCGAACGCACUGACGUCGACCGAAGCUGCUUGCAGUGGACGUUGAUUGACGUGAGUGGCGGACGGGUGAGUAACACGUGGGUAACCUACCCUUAAGUGGGGGAUAACAUUUGGAAACAGAUGCUAAUACCGCAUAACCAUUCAGACCACAUGGUCUGAAUGUAAAAGACGGCCUUUGGCUGUCACUUUUGGACGGACCCGCGGCGUAUUAGUUAGUUGGUAAGGUAACGGCUUACCAAGACAAUGAUACGUAGCCGACCUGAGAGGGUAAUCGGCCACAUUGGGACUGAGACACGGCCCAAACUCCUACGGGAGGCAGCAGUAGGGAAUCUUCCACAAUGGACGAAAGUCUGAUGGAGCAACGCCGCGUGAGUGAAGAAGGUUUUAGGAUCGUAAAACUCUGUUGUUGGAGAAGAACAGGGACUAGAGUAACUGUUAGUCCUUUGACGGUAUCCAACCAGAAAGCCACGGCUAACUACGUGCCAGCAGCCGCGGUAAUACGUAGGUGGCAAGCGUUGUCCGGAUUUAUUGGGCGUAAAGCGAGCGCAGGCGGUUUUUUAAGUCUGAUGUGAAAGCCUUCGGCUUAACCGAAGAAGUGCAUUAGAAACUGGAAAACUUGAGUGCAGAAGAGGACAGUGGAACUCCAUGUGUAGCGGUGAAAUG